rnacentral:tRNA from 1 species
GGGGAUUUAGCUCAGCGGUAGAGCACUUGCCUAGCAUGCACAAGGCCCUGGGUUCGGUCCCCAGCUCCG